AACUGAUACUACCUGCGGGAACCUGCGGAAGGAUCAUUACCGAGUUUACAACUCCCAAACCCCAUGUGAACAUACCUGUUUCGUUCCCUCGGCGGUGUCCGGCAACGGCCCGCCAGAGGACCCAACAAACUCUUUUGAAUUUUUCAGUAUCUUCUGAGUGAAAAAAACAAUAAAUCAAAACUUUCAACAACGGAUCUCU
rnacentral:misc_RNA from 1 species